AUGGAUCUUGGACAUGAACUUCGGAUUUACAUUGACAAUGUCCGAGCAGACCAAAGAUUUGCCAAUUUGGAUGGCAUUGCGGAUCUUUCUAAAAAGUUGGUGGAUACUAAGAAGCAUCUUCCUUUCCCUUUGGUGUAUCAACUUCUAAAGCUAGUGCUAAUUUUGCCGGUUGCCACAGCGUCAGUGGAGAGAUGCUUUUCAGCAAUGAAUAUUGUGAAGAGUGUUUUACGCAACAAAAUGGGUGACCAGUUCAUGAGUGAUUGCUUGAUUUGCUAUGUGGAGAAAGAUAUAUUUGCUACCAUUACGAAUGACGCCGUAAUUGAUCUAUUUAAGAAGAUGGGAGAUCGAGAAGGCAAGUUAUAA
rnacentral:rRNA from 1 species